CAUUAAGUAUCUUAAUAAAAGUAUUGAUCUCUUAAAUCAAAUUAUAGUAAUUUAAACUACUCUUAAUGA
rnacentral:tRNA from 1 species